rnacentral:lncRNA from 1 species
ACUGCUGAGAGAUCAUCAGAUGAUGGGUAUAACUGGCGAAAGUAUGGCCAGAAACUUGUAAAAGGAAGUGAAUUUCCAAGGAGCUAUUACAAAUGUACAUACCCAAACUGUGAAGUGAAAAAAAUAUUUGAGCGAUUACCUGAAGGACAAAUAACAGAGAUCGUUUAUAAAGGUUCUCAUGAUCAUCCUAAACCCCAACUGAGCCGGCAAUUUACUCCUGGUGCUCUCAUGUCCAUCCAAGAUAUUUGAGCGAUCACCUGAAGGACAAAUAGCUGAGAUCGUUUAUAAAGGUUCUCAUGAUCAUCCUAAGCCCCAACUGAGCCGUCGAUUUACUCCUGGUGCUCUCAUGUCCAUCCAAGAAGAUAAAUGUGAGAAAGUAGCUCUUUUAGUUUUGUUUCCCUCUCGAUGAGCAUAAAGUGGUAAUUUUGGAAAAAAAUCUUAAUUUUAUUCUGAGUCAAUCUUAUCAAUUCUCAGUCUUUGUUGAGGAC